rnacentral:rRNA from 1 species
GGCGAGGGGAGUGAAAAAGAACCUGAAACCGUGUACGUACAAGCAGUGGGAGCACAGAGCAAUCUGUGUGACUGCGUACCUUUUGUAUAAUGGGUCAGCGACUUAUAUUCUGUAGCAAGGUUAACCGAAUAGGGGAGCCGAAGGGAAACCGAGUCUUAACUGGGCGUUAAGUUGCAGGGUAUAGACCCGAAACCCGGUGAUCUAGCCAUGGGCAGGUUGAAGGUUGGGUAACACUAACUGGAGGACCGAACCGACUAAUGUUGAAAAAUUAGCGGAUGACUUGUGGCUGGGGGUGAAAGGCCAAUCAAACCGGGAGAUAGCUGGUUCUCCCCGAAAGCUAUUUAGGUAGCGCCUCGUGAAUUCAUCUCCGGGGGUAGAGCACUGUUUCGGCAAGGGGGUCAUCCCGACUUACCAACCCGAUGCAAACUGCGAAUACCGGAGAAUGUUAUCACGGGAGACACACGGCGGGUGCUAACGUCCGUCGUGAAGAGGGAAACAACCCAGACCGCCAGCUAAGGUCCCAAAGUCAUGGUUAAGUGGGAAACGAUGUGGGAAGGCCCAGACAGCCAGGAUGUUGGCUUAGAAGCAGCCAUCAUUUAAAGAAAGCGUAAUAGCUCACUGGUCGAGUCGGCCUGCGCGGAAGAUGUAACGGGGCUAAACCAUGCACCGAAGCUGCGGCAGCGACGCUUAUGCGUUGUUGGGUAGGGGAGCGUUCUGUAAGCCUGUGAAGGUGUACUGUGAGGUAUGCUGGAGGUAUCAGAAGUGCGAAUGCUGACAUAAGUAACGAUAAAGCGGGUGAAAAGCCCGCUCGCCGGAAGACCAAGGGUUCCUGUCCAACGUUAAUCGGGGCAGGGUGAGUCGACCCCUAAGGCGAGGCCGAAAGGCGUAGUCGAUGGGAAACAGGUUAAUAUUCCUGUACUUGGUGUUACUGCGAAGGGGGGACGGAGAAGGCUAUGUUGGCCGGGCGACGGUUGUCCCGGUUUAAGCGUGUAGGCUGGUUUUCCAGGCAAAUCCGGAAAAUCAAGGCUGAGGCGUGAUGACGAGGCACUACGGUGCUGAAGCAACAAAUGCCCUGCUUCCAGGAAAAGCCUCUAAGCAUCAGGUAACAUCAAAUCGUACCCCAAACCGACACAGGUGGUCAGGUAGAGAAUACCAAGGCGCUUGAGAGAACUCGGGUGAAGGAACUAGGCAAAAUGGUGCCGUAACUUCGGGAGAAGGCACGCUGAUAUGUAGGUGAAGUCCCUCGCGGAUGGAGCUGAAAUCAGUCGAAGAUACCAGCUGGCUGCAACUGUUUAUUAAAAACACAGCACUGUGCAAACACGAAAGUGGACGUAUACGGUGUGACGCCUGCCCGGUGCCGGAAGGUUAAUUGAUGGGGUCAGCGCAAGCGAAGCUCUUGAUCGAAGCCCCGGUAAACGGCGGCCGUAACUAUAACGGUCCUAAGGUAGCGAAAUUCCUUGUCGGGUAAGUUCCGACCUGCACGAAUGGCGUAAUGAUGGCCAGGCUGUCUCCACCCGAGACUCAGUGAAAUUGAACUCGCUGUGAAGAUGCAGUGUACCCGCGGCAAGACGGAAAGACCCCGUGAACCUUUACUAUAGCUUGACACUGAACAUUGAGCCUUGAUGUGUAGGAUAGGUGGGAGGCUUUGAAGUGUGGACGCCAGUCUGCAUGGAGCCGACCUUGAAAUACCACCCUUUAAUGUUUGAUGUUCUAACGUGGACCCGUGAUCCGGGUUGCGGACAGUGUCUGGUGGGUAGUUUGACUGGGGCGGUCUCCUCCUAAAGAGUAACGGAGGAGCACGAAGGUUGGCUAAUCCUGGUCGGACAUCAGGAGGUUAGUGCAAUGGCAUAAGCCAGCUUGACUGCGAGCGUGACGGCGCGAGCAGGUGCGAAAGCAGGUCAUAGUGAUCCGGUGGUUCUGAAUGGAAGGGCCAUCGCUCAACGGAUAAAAGGUACUCCGGGGAUAACAGGCUGAUACCGCCCAAGAGUUCAUAUCGACGGCGGUGUUUGGCACCUCGAUGUCGGCUCAUCACAUCCUGGGGCUGAAGUAGGUCCCAAGGGUAUGGCUGUUCGCCAUUUAAAGUGGUACGCGAGCUGGGUUUAGAACGUCGUGAGACAGUUCGGUCCCUAUCUGCCGUGGGCGCUGGAGAACUGAGGGGGGCUGCUCCUAGUACGAGAGGACCGGAGUGGACGCAUCACUGGUGUUCGGGUUGUCAUGCCAAUGGCACUGCCCGGUAGCUAAAUGCGGAAGAGAUAAGUGCUGAAAGCAUCUAAGCACGAAACUUGCC